rnacentral:lncRNA from 1 species
GUUCGGAUCCAGGGCCCCAGCCUUCCUCUCUCCAUAAAAGGAGGGGGAGUCAGUCUUUGGGGAAGGAGGGGGGCGGGUUUGGGGCACUCACCUGGCGGCUGCCACGCGCCCCCGCCCAGGAUCCGAGGCCUGGGGCAUCUGAAUGAGGACCCUCCACCCACAUUUCCACUUGGGAGCGAGCUCCAGUCGGGGAAAGGGCCUGCAGCCCGCCUCGUCCCCACCCUGGGACCCCGCGCCCCCCAGUCCCCCACUCCCGCGCCGAAGGCAGGGCCGCGCCCUGAGCCGGGAAGUCGAGGGGAUGGAAGGGAAAGGAGCCACCGGUGAGGGUCCCCCGGGUUCUGAGCCUCCCGCGUCGGGAUCCGUGGGGCGCACAGAGCGCCACCUCCGGCCGAGGCGCAGCUCAGAGCGCGAUGCGGGGGAGGAACGCGCGCGGAGGCCGAGGUCUGAGCGUGGCUAGACGGCUCCCACGCCGAGAAAGGGCGGGUGCGCCUGGGCUGGAUGGAUUUCGCCUCCCUAGACCAGGAGGGAUUGGACCCUGACUACAGGUCCAGGUGCUCGUCAGUGCCCUGCCAGGGGGUCUACGCGUCCUGGUACCGGGUCCAGCGGGGUGGCGUGCUGUGCAGACCCCGAGGCUAGACGGCCUAGGCCCCUGGAGCCCAGGAGACGCUUCCUUGGGUGAGCAGCGGAGAAUCCCGCCCGGCCCAGCCGUCACCCCCAACCCUGUCGAUUAAACCCCUGCCCCCGUCGCGGUCGCCCUCCCUCCAGACAAAGGCCGUUAAGGCGCAGCCCCGCGGGCGGUCUUUCAUCCCCAGCUAGGCCAGCUCUAGCAUUUCAAAGGCCGAAUCCGGAGAGCGCUUCGGGGGCUCUCCCCUUCCCCCAAAUAUUUGGGGAGCGACGCCUCUCCCUCCGCUCCCAGUGGGUCGCGUCUACACGCGCCCUUCCACACACCUGCAGGCCCCCUCCCCACGUCUCUCCCUUCCGUUGGCCGCAGCCCCACACCACGACCCCCGCGGUCAAGCAUGCCCUCUGGGUGGUCAGGACCAAGCGGGACCGGGACAGAACCAGGGGAGCCUUGGAAACGUGGAGGAGCCCCUUAAAGCCAGGCCUUGUCCCUCCAGGGGGAACUUGCGGCUUGGGAGGGGACACCCACUGCAUGGCUUCUGGAAAGAGCCGGACUCGCAGGGCCAGGACGCAGGCCGGACCCCGGCCUCAUUCUUCGGCCAGUUAUCCCGGAGUGGCGCGCAUCCUGUCUUCCUGGGCCUCGGACUGCUCGCGCGCAGAGGGGGCCCGAGGACACCUCUGUGGGGUUAGAGGACUCGGUAAGACGGUGUGGAAGGCAAGGAGGAAGGUCGCGUUGUAUUGGGGAUGGGGUACCCGUCCCUCCCAGCUUGAGGGAUCCUGGGGGUCCUCGCCGCCUCUGAGGGCCUAGAUGGCUGCUUCCCUCGGCUCCCCUGCCCGGCCUGGAGCUACGGGUGCGCCCAGCUAGAGUUUAGGGCCACCUGGGGACGUGCAAGGGGCGCUGGAGCGAGGCGGGGGCUGGGGCGGGGCGUGGGUGCUUCACCCGCGGGGGACGCAGAGCUUAGGCGAAAGCGGUGCAGGCAUCUCUCUAAUCGCCGGCCGCUAUUAAAAAUAAAACCGCGACCCGUCGCCAUGGCGACCACAACAACAGCGGCCGCGCGAGGGAGGCGAAAACUUGUGCAGCCGCGCGACAGCCGCCUUCUGGGGAGACUCGGGGCACGACGCACCCGGCGUGGGACUGGGACCCCCCUGCCCGGCCCCGCCACAUUCUCCGCCGGAUCCCCGGAAGACACAAGGAGACGUGGACCCCCACAGGCUUUUUUGGGGGGAUUGGGCGUUGAAACCGCAGGGCUGACUUAACCAAGAGGUCACCGACUUGGAUAAAAAACCCACGCCCGCGCGGACCCCCCUCCCCGGCCUUCGUUUCCAUUCAAACUCCCAGCGUCCUCAUUGCAGCCCCUGGGGAGGGGGACGGAGGGACGAGGUGGGUUUCAGGUGCUCGGCCCAGGAGGGGACGGUGCGACCCGGGCCCCGCCGGCGGGUUUUGCGCGCGGAGGCUGCGGCACCUGCCCCGCCCGCCCUGCCGCGAUCCUUGCAGACGGGGGCGGUCACAUGCUUCUUUCUGGCCAGGAAUCGAGUUUCACUUCCAGCCGCUAUUAGUCGGUUCACACAGUUCACUGCAAACAUUUGAUAAUGAGGCUAAAUAUACUCCCGCGUCGGAGGAGGCGUGGGCGUCCCCGCCCAGGCCCGGGAGACAGAGGCGCUGACCCCGGGACAGAGCCUGGCUUUGUGCGGGAGGCAGACGCGCCCCGCGCGCCGCCCCCGAAACAUUCGCACCCCAUGCUGAGGCGCGCGUCUGGGAGUCCGUGGGCGCCCCGAGAAAUGAAGUUGAAAAUAGCACAGGAGCCCACUAUCACUGUGUGAACAUUUUGUGAAUGAAGACAUGUAUGAAAGGAUGUUUGGAGGCUUCAAGAAACGAAAGCCGAGAGUCUAGCUAGACCAGAGCCAUCCAGCCCAGGAGCGAUGGCCACGUGUGGCCGCUGGACACGAGAGACGUGGCCAGUCCAAACUGUGCAGUGCGGGGCAGUGGAAGCCGUUGGAGGGCCUCAGGCAGGAACACAAGGUGUCGUGGCAGAAAGGAAGAAGGGGCCGGGCACGGUGGCCCACACCCGUCAUCCCAGCACUUUGGGAGGGAGGCCAAGGCAGGAGGAUCGCUUCAAUCCAGGAGUUCAAGAUCAGCCUGGGCAACACAGCAAGACCCCGUCUCUACUAAAACCCUAAAACUUAGCCAGGCUUGGUGGCAUGUGCCUAAGGUCCCAGGUCCUCGGGAGACUAAGGCAGGAGGAUUGCUUAAGCCCAAGAGUUUGAGGCUGCAGUGAACUAUUAUCACACCACUGCACUCAGCCUGGGUGACAGAGUGACUCUGUCUCAAAACUAAAUAAAUAAACAAUAAUUGUGUUAUUCUGUCUCCAUUUCUCGCAUACUGAAUUUAAGGUGGACUCAGCCAGCGGGUUCAGGCCCAGGGUCUGUCCUGCAGCUACAGUCAGGGUUGGUGGCUGCAG